rnacentral:misc_RNA from 1 species
GGGAACUGCUCCGGCCACUGCACAUCCUUGAGGAUCAGCUCGACGGGGGAGACUCCCUGUUGGGGGCGGGCGGAGGCGGAGGUGGCGGCAACGCCGCCGCUGACGGAGGCCGCCAGGCCGAGAAAGAAGCGGCGGGACGGUGUGCGGCGGCGGGCGGCGGGAGUGGGGCCCGCGGUGGCGGGGAGGGAGAAAGUGGGGAGUCGCGGGGGUGCUCUU